ACCGGACAAGCACAAAUGACCUCUUUCAGAGUUGUAAUAAAUCUCUCGAUCAGUUAAUUAAUAAAGGCAGAUCUGGUUCUGGGCGUUUAUCUGAGUGUCUGAAACAGUGAAGGGCAAAUCUGGCAAACAUCCCGCGGCUCAGUGACGCUUGCUGUCAUUUCAUGUUUAACUUGAAUGAGCCAAUAGCGACACAGCCAGAGGAUGCAGCGACAUCCGACUGUGUUUCUCACGUCUACCCAAAUUUAUCUGUGAUUCACAUUAUACUAAAUAACUGUCACACAUAAGGACACAGUUUAUUAAAUACAGUGUGAGAUAACGUUUAAUUUUACAGGUAUUCUCAGCACCUUUGAGAGUAUUUCAUUUCUUAUCUUUUAGCUUAGUAGCUAGGCUUAGCUUGAAUGAGCUUGCAAACUGACACCUUCGGUCUUGAUUCACAAUCAGGGGUAGAAAAACCUCAGGAGCUAUGUGGAAAAUAAGUACAACAAUUACAGCCACGAUGGGAUCAUUGUCCUGCUGGAACACGUGUUUGGUCCAAGUAUGAACCAUCAAGCUGUUGAUGUAAGAUGAAGUUGAAGAACUUGGAGAUCUGUGCGAUGUACCAAUACUACUGGCACCAAAACAGCCCGACAUCAUGAUGCUUCACAGUUGGAUAGGUUUGAAAUUCUCACCCUUGUUCUUCCAAACUAGUUUUUGUCAUUGCAGCCAAACAGCUCGAGCUUUGUCUCAUCGGACCAUAACCCUUUAGAACAGGGGUGUCAAACUCAAACACACAGUGGGCCAAAAUUCAAAACUGGAAAAAGUCGCGGGCUAACAUUAAUAUUUAUUGAAAAAAAAAUCUUCCUCCAGAUAUGAGAAUGAAUCAUUUCUUAUGGACUCAAACAAGUUUUGCUGAAAAA